GACGAACGCUGGCGGCGUGCUUAACACAUGCAAGUCGAACGAAGAGCGAUGGACGCUUGCUUCUAUCAAUCUUAGUGGCGAACGGGUGAGUAACGCGUAAUCAACCUGCCCUUCAGAGGGGGACAACAGUUGGAAACGACUGCUAAUACCGCAUACGAUCUAAUCUCGGCAUCGAGGAUAGAUGAAAGGUGGCCUCUACAUGUAAGCUAUCACUGAAGGAGGGGAUUGCGUCUGAUUAGCUAGUUGGAGGGGUAACGGCCCACCAAGGCGAUGAUCAGUAGCCGGUCUGAGAGGAUGAACGGCCACAUUGGGACUGAGACACGGCCCAGACUCCUACGGGAGGCAGCAGUGGGGAAUCUUCCGCAAUGGACGAAAGUCUGACGGAGCAACGCCGCGUGAGUGAUGACGGCCCUCGGGUUGUAAAGCUCUGUUAAUCGGGACGAAAGGCCUUCUUGCGAAUAGUGAGAAGGAUUGACGGUACCGGAAUAGAAAGCCACGGCUAACUACGUG
rnacentral:rRNA from 1 species